GACGAACGCUGGCGGCGCGCUUAACACAUGCAAGUCGAACGGUGAAGCGCCUUCCUUUUUGGUGGGUGUGGAUGAGUGGCGAACGGGUGAGUAACACGUGAGUAACCUGCCCCCUUCUUCUGGAUAACCGCAUGAAAGUGUGGCUAAUACGGGAUAUUCUGGGUCUGUCGCAUGAUGGGUCUGGGAAAGAUAUUGUUUCGGUGGGGGAUGGGCUCGCGGCCUAUCAGCUUGUUGGUGGGGUGAUGGCCUACCAAGGCGGUGACGGGUAGCCGGCCUGAGAGGGUGGACGGUCACACUGGGACUGAGACACGGCCCAGACUCCUACGGGAGGCAGCAGUGGGGAAUAUUGCACAAUGGGCGCAAGCCUGAUGCAGCGACGCCGCGUGAGGGAUGGAGGCCUGCGGGUUGUGAACCUCUUUCGCCAGUGAAGCAGGCCUGCCUCGUUUGUGGGUGGGUUGACAGUAGCUGGAUAAGAAGCGCCGGCUAACUACGUG
rnacentral:rRNA from 1 species